GUGGUUGGGAUGGGUUUUCAGCUGUGUAUAGCAUUGUCCGGGUGCCACUUUCGCUGCUCUCUUGCUUCUCUCAUCCUCAUGUUAAUGGUGCUGAUGGGGUCUGGGUGUCCGGCGACUUUGCCCAUAUAUCAGAGAUGAAUCACCUUAUGGUGAGCGACAGCAUGCGCUAUGCAAUCCUGAUGUAGGAAAAUGUAAGUUAGAAAAAGAAAAAAAAGGAAAAAAAAGUCUGGUUUUUUCUCUGCCAGGUAUGUGCAUGGAUUGAUGAUGAGUGCCUUACGUUUAGAUGAUGAGCCAUCUGUUAUUGCUCCCAUAUUUAUACCUAUAAUUUCAUGCCAGUAGAAAUGAUCACAGGUAUAAUAUUCACACAUGAAUAUAUAUAGAGUUCUUCAAUCAAUGCAUAGCUUUCAAUUAUGAAUCUACUAACUGCAGAUUGAAGAUUCUAGCAACAAGAAGAAAUCUUCAAUAUUCAGUACAAACAGGGGAGCCCUUAGAUUAAUAGCUUCAAUUAAGUUUCAUCUCACAACAAAAGAAAAUAGAAAAUGACCAGAAAAUAGAAGAGCAGGCCUCUUUGUAGGUAGGUAUAAACAAAUUCUUGGACCACAAACAACUCCUUGUGAAGAAAAUCAUUAAAAAGUGAAAAGAGAAAGCAGGCAUAAGACGAAAAAGAAGUGGGGAAAAACUUUAUGUUCUUAAUUCCUUAAGGGAUGUUUGAAGUCUCAAGGAAGGUAAAUCCUUCUACUUUUCUUUUUCUCUGCCAUGUGUUUCAAGUAAGUAAUCGUAGGUAUUAACAAAACAAGGAGCGACUCCUCUGGAAAUAUAUUGAGUUAAUCAUAUUACACAGAACAUCAAUCAAAUGGAUGUAAGAUAAGUUUUUCAGAUUCUAAGCAUGAUAUCGCAUAUAGAACAUCAUGUUUUUAACAAAAAAAUUUGCACCCCAAUGGACGGUCUUUGAGCACAUCAUCAACUGCAAAAAAAUUGGUUAACAGUAUGAUUUCAGCUUCUAUUGUUUAAUGGGUUCCAUGGGUGCAUCUUUUCUGGUCCACAAGUUGCAGCCAUAUAAGUGAAAUCAGGAUUCCUUGAAAAUUAUAGUGGGAAUAACUGGACAUCUUCCAUUUCUCACAUAAGGGUGAAUUGGUGUGAUUGACAAUUUGACAGCACUCCAAUAUAUACCACAAGGGCGAAAGAAUGAUAUCCAGGUGCUCAUGUGAAUGAUUUUCUCACAUGUUUUUUCACUGUUAAGGUGUUUGAUGGUUGUGAUGACUUAGUGAGGAGAUGGAAAUGUAUGGAGUCUUUAAUCCUCCUGAGCAACACAGUUGCCAAUUCUAGAAAUUAUGCCAUCAGGGGAUCUUGCUAAAUGUGUCUCCCUUACAUUGUGUGGUGCCUAAAAAAAAGUGAGCACUAGCAUUUGAAAAAAAAAAACUAAUCUUCCAAAGGCCAGUGAGAUCAUAUACUUUGUAAAUAAUCCUACUUACUUUCUUGCAUGCGCAGGGGCGGUUCAUCUGAAAGCCCCUACUUUGAAAAGUGACCAAUUUUGCCAUCCCCAUCAUUGGUUCAUUACAAUUUUCUCACAGAACAAACAAAAGUAAUUACAUUUCAAAAUCUAAAUUUUUGAAAAUAAGAAACCCCUAGUGAAACUUGUGAUUUCUAACUCAGAUUCAUCACACCAUCAUAAAUUUUGCUAUUUUCAUCUGCAAAACAUGUUUUUACUUGGAUUAAAUCAUCCAGAGAUCAUUGCUGUGGAAAUCAAAUCAUUGAAUUUUUAAAUGCUCAAGGUAUCCCAGAUCAGUAGAGCCAAAAAAGUCAUGGUGUUUUGGCAAUUAUGAGAGACCUAAUGGAAUUGUGUAAGUGUCCAAAUGGGAUGAGAGUCUAAAAAGGGUAAUCAUGUGGUUGCUGUAAGUCCAUACUGAGUGGGACAGAAGGAAGUCAACUGCUCCAACUUUGUGCUGCUUAUCUUGAAGAGAACCAAGGUCCACUAGUUGUGAAUGCCACCCAUACAUAGAGCUUUGAUGGUUUGGGAUUUUUCUUCAACAACCCAGCUUCAUCAACAUCAUUCUUCCAUUUGAUUCAAAAAUCAGGAAAAAAAAAAAAAAAGGAACAUGCAAUUCAGUACUUGUGCUCAGCAAAAAAUGGCCUAGUGAUUGAAGGAAUAAGGUGUUUUAGGACCAUUGAUCAAUAAGUGCCACACUAAUAUGUAGUACAUGUUCUUUAAAUAUCAUACAGAUUAGUUAAUUAGUUUAAAUAAUCACUGUUUCAGUUAAUUUUUUCCGUUAAGUCCAUAUUAGUGUUUUUCUUUUUGCCUACAUAUAAGUAAGGGAAUCAAAGUUGUGGACCAACAGAAUUUUGACGCCUAAUCACUUUUUUUUUGUUUUUUUUUUUUUUUUUCACUUUGGGACUCCCAACAUAAAUCAAGAUUUACUCAGUUAUUGAGCUUCACUUUUCUGGGACAAAUGCCACAAGCCACAUGCAACUAUCAGUAUCUAUAAUGAACCUUUUACAAUGAGUUAUUCUUUGAAACCCUACUCAGACCUUAUCCCUACAUUUGAGUUAUUCUUUGGUUUUCCAGAGAAGUUGUACUUUGAUUGGUCUGCCAAUUACUUCACAGUUUCUAUGUUCAAUCUAAAUGGAAUAUGCCCUCCAAUAAAACUCCUAGGAUACCAAUCUUCGCCACCCAGCAGGGUCCAGAAUUGAAGAAAGUGAUUAACCCUUCUGAUAAUUUCUAGAUAGCAGAAAAUUUAUUUCUCACAAUAUAUUUCCAAUUAUGUAAUUUAAUUAGAAAGUAUAAAUGAAGCAGGCUGAGAAAAAGGUGAAUAAAUCAGUACUUAAUUCAAAUUUUAGCUUGUUCUGAGACGAUUGAUUGUCCAGAAGAGGAAUGAUUUUCCUUUCCUUUUAUUCUCAGCAAUAAAAUGACUGCUAGGAAAACAGAGAAUUACAACAAAUGAUAAUGAAAACAUCACUGUUAAAGCAAGAUCCCAUCAAUAAUUACUAAAGAAAAAUAACUAAAGUACCAGGCAACUAAAGUACCUUUUUGGGGUCCUAUCUCUUAUCUCGUCCUUAAUAAAGGAGAUUAUUUAAGUGGUAAGCUAAUUCCUUCCACAUCUUUUCACCUUUUUUUUUUGCAAGCUGAAAAUGACACGAGGAAUAAAGUAGAUUAUCAAGGAAUGAUGGAAAUAAUUGAGUCUGGAUGCUGACUAAGCUAAACUUGAUGAAGAAGAACAAUCAGAAAAGCUAGAUAGAACUCUCAAAGAUAGUGUCAAAAUGAUUUGCUGUUAUGCAGAUAUUAAUUUCAAGACAUACAGCAAGAGGAGGACUUUUAUCCAUGGGGAGUAUUCGUUUCCAAGCAUUAUGCAAUCAUAAGUCUGAAUCAAGACAUAUAUAAUGCAUGACUAGCCACAAAGGAUCAUAUAUUUGGAUUUGUUGUUUGAAAGCAUUAUUAUCAAAAACACUGUAAAUAUUGAAAUGACUCUUUAUAUAUCUAACACAAAGAGAACAAUUGGAGGGAGUUAGUGGAAAUACUGUCAACAAUUCCCUUUUAACAAAUUUAUUCGUUUCUUUUCAAAAUACACCAUUUGUUAGAUAAAUCAUACUCAUUCAAGGACUUGACUUCAAUGCUGCCCACUGUCACUAGAUAGGAAUAUAGAUGCAUAAAACUUAAACACAAGUGUGAAACUAGAAAACCUUUUUUCCCUUUCUUCAUCAUUUUUUUUUGUGUUGUUUGUCUGAUCAAUCAACACCCUUCUGUCCCUUUCCUUAUGUUUUGAGGUCAGAGAUUUGGAUAUCUGGAUAAGUGAGGAGGGUAUAUUGAUAGAAGCAGUUAUCACGGAGCCAGAUGAAACAUGGGCAUCUUGCCUAUUAAAUGGUCUGGCCUUCCUUUGACCCUUUGACAUAUUGGUAACAUUAAGUGCUGCAUGCUUUAUCUUCCAGAAAGAAAUUUUGAUAGUCCAAUACCAGGCAGCUACAAUUUUCCUGUCCCAACCGUGAAAUAGUGCACCCACUAAGUGAUAAUGAUCCAAAUGAAAAAUACAUAAGGCAUAUCUAAAGAGAACCCACUAGAACCAUUUUAUGCUUCAUUUAUUCAUGUGUUUCCUGUUCUACUGGGUUCCAUUUAAUCAACAACUUGGCGAUUCUAGAGCCGCCGAACUUUCCAAUGUGUGCAUUUUUCAAAUAAAAGUUCAAGAAAACUAUCACCAUAUUCUCCCUUUUACCUAUCGGCAUUUUUAAUCAAAUUUCACUGCAUUUAGUCAUCCCAAAAAUACGGGAUUCAAUCACAAGAGAUAGUUGAACUAAGGGCUCAAUUUCCCUAGCUGUCAAGCCAUGGAAGUUUUACACCUAGGACAAGGACUUUAACUUUUCAUUCCCACAAAUUCAUGAAAAAUAGCUAAAUGAUUCAAGAUGGAGAAAUUGAAUAAAUACCUGUCAAGAAAAAGUACUUUUUGUUUUCUUCAACUUAGGGAUGGAAACCAAGAAAUGAUGCUUCCUUCUGACUUAAAGAUGUUCUUAUUAUGACAAACCCUAGCCAUUCUAUGAUUUUCUAACGAAGGAGUUAUGUUUAUUGCAAUGUGAACACCAUUUUCUAUGGCCAGGUCUCGAAACCUAGUUUGAUUUUCAGAGUGCUAGUGAAUGUGGAUCAAUGUGCAUUAUGAUUUCUAUUUUCUAUUACCCAAUCCUUUAGCCAAAAGGGUUUAACAAAUUUUCUGUCUUCCUCAGAUUGGUGCAGUCUUUCAUGCGUGCAAUCUUUGAAGUCCAUGGCUGGGCAAAGACGAACAAAGGUGACAAAAAAGAAAAGAAGGUGGGGAGAAAAGAAGAAACAACAUAUAUAUUAUACUUCUGCAAUGCCUUUACUUUUGCAUAAAUAUCAAAUACAUGGUGUUUAGGUCAAUAACUGUAAAGGUAGGAACUUUAUUCGUUGCUUGGCCUUCAUUCUUUAUCUAUUAGAUAAGAACUAUUUUAAACUAUCUUCCUUUUUCCUAUUUAAUGGCUAUAUUCCCAAGAAACAAACAACACCAUUAAACAGGAAAGUGAAACCCAAAUGUAAUUCUGAGUAUCAUCUUUGAUAACUGCAAUACAUGGUUUUUUUUCUUCUGACAUUCAUUCUACAGAGAGAAACAGAGACAGAAUUAGAUAUCUAAUUCCAAUUAGCAAAGAUAUAACUAGGGUUUCUAGGAAUCAAUGGGCAUCUACAAGUAAUCUAUUAAUCAAAACCUAAGAUGGGAAAACUUUUCUGGUGAAGAAAUUCUUGUUGGCUUACUGGUUCAAAUGGUGAUUUCGUGUUCUUCAUGCAAUCGUUGUGUCAGACAAGCCCAAUUUAGGCGGCUGAUGGGCAUGGGAAUCACUUUUCUCCACCUCCAAGAUUCAGUGGGAAUCCCUUGUCCCUGACCUGAUUCUCAUUGUUUCCAGCCAUUCCAGAGCACAGAGGAGCUGAUUCUUCACUUGUCUACAACCAAACGACAUCGUUUUGUCCAACUUCAUCUCUUUCCUACCACAUGCUCUGGACCUAAGAGGAGCAAAUCAAACCUUUCAUUUUGGCAGGAUGGAAGAAACGGAGAAACUUUCGGUGAGGGCUUUCUCAGUCUUGGUUUCCCCUUGGUAACUACUUUCCCCAUUGAUGAUAUUCUUAAUUUCGUUUUCUACGUUUAUUUUUGGAUACUAGAAAAAAGAUGAUAACAUCAGAGUGUUUUAAUAUAACUUUGUUAACUCACGGGUGAAGUGGGCAUUCAAAUAAAAACGAC
rnacentral:lncRNA from 1 species